rnacentral:rRNA from 1 species
GACGAACGCUGGCGGCGUGCCUAAUACAUGCAAGUAGAACGCUGAAGAGAGGAGCUUGCUCUUCUUGGGUGAGUUGCGAACGGGUGAGUAACGCGUAGGUAACCUGCCUUGUAGCGGGGGAUAACUAUUGGAAACGAUAGCUAAUACCGCAUAACAAUGGAUGACACAUGUCCUUUAUUUGAAAGGGGCAAUUGCUCCACUACAAGAUGGACCUGCGUUGUAUUAGGUAGUAGGUGAGGUAAUGGCUCACCUAGGCGACGAUACAUAGCCGACCUGAGGGGGUGAUCGGCCACACUGGGACCGGGACACGGGCCAGACCCCUAAGGGAAGCAGCAGUAGGGAAUCUUCGGCAAAGGGGGCAACGCUGAACGAGCAACGCCGCGUGAGUGAAGGAGGUUUUCGGAUCGGAAAGCUCCGUUGUAAGUCAAGAAAGGGUGGGAGAGUGGAAAGUUCACACUGUGACGGUAGCUUACCAGAAAGGGACGGCUAACUACGUG